AACGAACGCUGGCGGCAUGCCUAACACAUGCAAGUCGAACGAGACCUUCGGGUCUAGUGGCGCACGGGUGCGUAACGCGUGGGAACCUGCCCUUAGGUUCGGAAUAACUCCCCGAAAGGGGUGCUAAUACCGGAUAAUGUCUUCGGACCAAAGAUUUAUCGCCUUUGGAUGGGCCCGCGUUGGAUUAGCUGGUUGGUAGGGUAAAAGCCUACCAAGGCGACGAUCCAUAGCUGGUCUGAGAGGAUGAUCAGCCACACUGGGACUGAGACACGGCCCAGACUCCUACGGGAGGCAGCAGUGGGGAAUAUUGGACAAUGGGCGAAAGCCUGAUCCAGCCAUGCCGCGUGAGUGAUGAAGGCCUUAGGGUUGUAAAGCUCUUUUACCCGGGAUGAUAAUGACAGUACCGGGAGAAUAAGCACCGGCUAACUACGUG
rnacentral:rRNA from 1 species